AGUUUUUUGACCUGAUAACCUACGUGGAGGAACUGCUCCAUACUUUCCUCCUCUAAGAGAAGACACCCAGUGAAGACAGACGAUGGAGAUCCAUCUUAAUCGAGUGGAUUAUAUUCAAGUAACACCAAGUACAGACGGUGGAAGAUGUGCCUCAGCAGUAUCGCCUUCAUCAGCCGCCUCGCCCCCACAGGUGUCUGAUCACACUACCUGAAAGAUUUGUUUUCUUUAUGUUUUGUUUUUUCCACCAUUUAGGAUGUGACUCAAACUUUGAUGGGGACAGAUAUUGCCAUCAACCGAAGGAACUGUUUAUUGAAUGUCAGCUUUACAGCCUGUGCUCCGGCUUCUCCGUAUGUUUGAGUACAGGUGAAGAGCAGCCAGUAAUGCACUGAAGUCUCAUGGUGAUAUUUGUUUUCCCAUCUUCUUAAUGUGAAGCGGUGGACACCCCUCACUUUGUCCCGUUCACUGAACGCAGCACAGUAGACAUCAACUGUGAUCUGUAUGUAUCGGCUGUUAUUAUUUUUUCCUCAUAUGUCCUUAUUUAUUCAUGAAAAUCUCUUAUUCUGUGAUGAAACAUUAACAUUUUGAGAUUAGUAACUUAAAUUAAAAUCUGCUUAUACAUGAUUAAUAAUAUUCUUUUUUUUAAUGAUCAUGUUGUGCUUGGGUGGAUGGAGGAUGGGGUUUGUUCACAGUUUCUACGUGGUCCAAUUUAUUUUUUAUGUUCGACACAUCUGAUGCUCUUAUUUGUCUAAAUGCCUAACUUUAAAUGUAUCUAUCAAUGCCAUCAACCCGUUCUUUUAACAACUUGCAAAGUCUAUGUAGGUAUGAUGUCAAAAUGGGUGUUGAAAUGAGAAACAAGAAAUCUGCUGUAUUUUAUAGACUAUUUUAAGGUACCAGACAUUUUGCUGUAGAAUUCAUAUUUGAAAUGAGUUGCACAAUGCCUGUCACGUUUCUGAAUGCACCCUCACCUUGUUUCUCAGUUUGAAAGCUGUUUUGAAUUUGGCCUCAUUUAUUUGUUGCGAUGUAGUUUUUCUUGCUUGAUGCAUGCUCUGAUUUUUUUUCCUGCCAUGUUUAAUGUGUUUAUUUGCCUCCAGACAAACCACAUUUUUAUGACAAGAAUAAAAUGAUCUCUUAAUGAAACCAAUAAAAUAUUAAAGAACAGGAA